rnacentral:sRNA from 15 species
AUUUUAUUAAUGUAUUUUAUACCUUUAAAAUAGAAGAGGUAUUCUUUUGCGUCUCCUCAACGGUCAUACUGAAAAAAGAGUAAAAAUCAAAUCGCCCUUACCCCACAUAACAGAAAUAAUAUUCUCUUUUGAAUAAAUACAUAUGCAUGUAUGUACAUUUAUUAAUGCAUCUGACUAAAUUUACUAA